AAAUUUGUCAAAUGCAAUUAAGAUAUUACUUGCCAUUAUAAAGAAAUAUAAACUAGCUAACCUAAUUUCUUAACCUAUAACUGGUGUCAAGUGUCAAAUCAAAUAUGCAGAGAUAUGUGUGCUAACUUUUAUAAGUUUUGAAAGCACUCUUCAAGAAAUCUCUUUGAAGAAAUUUAAUAUUAUCUUAAUAUUACUUUUUCUAUAUCUGGAAAGAAAAGCAUUUAUCUAAUAAUACAAUCUUUUAUCGUCGUAUAUCGUCGUCCGAUUACUUUGAGAAAGAAGAAUGAAGAUUUCAAUAUUUAAUAAAGAUGACUGUGUAUUGCUAGUAGGAGAAGGCAAUUUCUCAUUUUCUGUAGCAUUACUGCGGCACAAUUUAAACAUCAAGCUUAUCGCUACUUGUUAUGAAUCUAGCGUGAGUCAAGAGACUGCAAAAGAAAAUAUAAAGUAUCUUCAGAACAAUGACAUUUGUGUAUUGUUUAAUGUAGAUGCUACAAAAUUAGAAGAAUGCCUUGGAUUAAAAUCUAAAUUAUUUGACAAAAUUAUUUUUAAUUUUCCUCAUGUUGGCGGUAAAAUGAGAAUAGAAAAAAAUAGGGAGUUACUGAAAAGCUUUUUUGUGUCAUCCCAAAAAAUGAUAAAAGAAAAUGGUCAAGUAUUAGUGACAUUGUGCAAUGGCCAAGGUGGAACACCUAUGGAUAAUCCCAAGAGACGUUGGGAUGAUUCAUGGAAAAUUGUAGAAAUGGCUGCACAUGGAAAUUUUAUAUUAACGAAAGUAGAACCUUUUUUGUGGCAAUCUUUUCCAGAUUUUGUUGUAACAGGCUAUCGCAGUUUAGAGAAACAAUUUUAUACAGCAGGCUCGUUGACACAUUUUUUUAAAAAGGGCAACCCACCUACACUAUAUAAUAUUACACCUAACAAUAAAAUAGACAUCUCUAAAUACAUUAUAAAUAAUAUUACAUGGAAAGAAGUAACAAACAAUAUCGAAAAUGAAUCGAAUUAUGAUGUCAAGUGUAUUUAUCCAUGUAUUUUUAUAUUUGAUCUAACUUUGUCUACUGACACAGAUUUUAAUACACCUGAAUUUUAUAAAUCAAUAUAUAAUUAUGCAGGAGCUAUCAUAGACAAUAUUGAUUUUAUCGAUUAUUAUUUAUCUCCUAUUGAUAAAAAGAUAAAAAGGACUUACAGAAUAACUUACAAAUCAACUUAUAUACCUUUAUAUAGAAAGAGAGUUAUUGAAUUGCAUCAAGAUGUAAUCUCGAGUUUUAUAGAAGACAACUUUCAAGUUGCUAUCUCAAGAUAGCAUCUAAUGCAAAACUAGCUAAAUACACAAAUCAUUAAAAAAUAAAGCUAUAUAUCAUUAAAAUGAUGCAUUGCCUUCGCCUUUUGAGAAAUAUCGUCGCGUGCAAUAUAAUUCAAGGACAAAGUUACAAAAUUAUAUUAAAUAGAAAUAAAUGCAAAAUGUCAUACAGAAACUUAUUUAGGACAUUGUCUGUCACUACAUG